GAUGAAGAACGUAGCGAAAUGGGAUAAGUAAUGUGAAUUGCAGAAUUCAGUGAAUCAUCGAAUCUUUGAACGCACAUUGCGCCCGCUAGUAUUCUGGCGGGCAUGCCUGUCCGAGCGUCAUUUCAACCCUCAAGCCCCCGGGCUUGGUGUUGGGGAUCGGCGAGCCUCCGCGCCCGCCGUCCCCUAAAUCUAGUGGCGGUCUCGCUGUAGCUUCCUCUGCGUAGUAGCACACCUCGCACUGGGAAACAGCGCGGCCACGCCGUUAAACCCCCAACUUCUGAACGUUUGACCUCGGAUCAGGAAGGAAUACCCGCUGAACUUAAGCAUAUCAAUAAGCGGAGGA
rnacentral:misc_RNA from 1 species